rnacentral:lncRNA from 1 species
GCGGCUCCAUCGUCGCGCCUCCACCCCUCUGAGGAAACCAUAUCAGCGGCCCGACGGUGGUCUGAGUGUGACGCCGCCGCCGCCUCCACCCCUAUGAAGGCCGCCUUCUCCGCGAUUUGAGUCCUUCCUUCCUGUUGGUGGUUCCGCCUCCAAAAAUUAGGGCCCGAUGCUCACCCAAGCUUUGAUGUGCUUCGCCGGCGACGACAGCGGAAAUGGCGGAAAUCUGGGUUUGUAAGUUUUGAUAUUCAAUCAGUCAAAAUCUGGGUUUGUAAUUUUGUGAUAAUUUAUUAAAAUGCUUCGAGCCACUUUUUGGUGAUUGGAGAUGGGUUUGUAAUUUUAGUGUUUGAAAACCCAUCUGUAAUUUUUCGCCGCAUUUGGGUGUAAUUUUUGGUGAUUGGAGAUGGGUUUGUAAUUCUUUGGGUGUAAUUUUUCGUGCAUUUUUUUGGAUUUUGUGUUUGACAACCGAUCUCUCGCCUUUCUUCCUUCCCUCUCUUCCACCGCCUUCCCUCUGUUGUCGCCGGAGUUCUGUAAAGGGAGGGUCGGUGGUGGCUUCUCUGCCUUGGCCAGAUCCGAUAGUACAAGGCCUACAAGCUUGAGUUGAGAUCUGAAACUAGUGGCUUUAGUUGCAGAAUUUCUUGGAUUUCUUGAAUUUGGGGGAAACACAUUUGUUGGACGGAGAUG